ACCUGGCUGGCUCAGUCAGUAGAGCAUGCAACUCUUGAUCUCAAGGUCAUGAGUUCAAGCCCCAUGUUGGGUG
rnacentral:tRNA from 1 species